rnacentral:lncRNA from 10 species
CCGGCCAGAUUUUCCAACACUAUGUUGAACAGGAGUGGUGAGAGAGGGCAUCUUUGUCUCGUGCUAGUUUUCAAAUGGAAUGCUUCCAGCUUUUGCUCAUUCAGUAUAUUAGCUAUGGGUUUGUCACGAAUAGCUCUUAUUAGUUUGAGAUAUGUUUCAUCAAUACCUAGUUUAUUGAGUGUUUUUAGCAUGAAGGGGUAUCAAAUUUAAUCGAAGGCCUUUUCUGUAUCUAUUGAGAUAAUCAUGUGGGUUUUGUCAUUGGUUCUGUUCAUGUGAUGGAUUAUGUUUAUUGAUUUGCGUAUGUUGAACCAGCCUUGCAUCCCAGGGAUGAAGUCGACUUGAUCAUGGUGGAUAAGCUUUUUGAUGUGCUGCUGGAUUCAGUUUGCAUGUAUUUUACUAAGGAUUUUUGCAUCAAUCUUCUUCAGAGAUAUUGGCCUGAAACUUUCUUUUUUUGUUGUGUCUCUGUUAGGUUUUGGUAUCAGGAUGACGCUGGCCUCAUAAAAUGAGUUAGGGAGGAGUCCCUCUUUUUUUAUUGUUUGGAAUAGUUUCAGAAGGAAUGGUACCAGCUCCUCUUUGUACCUCUGGUAGAAUUCGCCUGUGAAUCCAUCUGCUCCUGGGCUUUUUUGGGGGGUAGUAGGCUAUUAAUUAUUGCCUCAAUUUCAGAACUUGUUACUGGUCUAUUCAGGGAUUCAACUUCUUCCAGGUUUAGUCUUGGGAGAGUGUAUGUGUCCAGGAAUUAUUAUUAUUGUGUGGGAGUCUAAGUCUCUUUAUAGGUCUCUAGGAACUUGCUUUAUGAAUCUGGGUGCUCCCGUAUUGGGUGCAUAUAUAUUUAGGAUAGUUAGCUGUUCUUGUUAUAUUGAUCCCUUUACCAUUAUGUGAUGCCCUUCUUUGUCUUUUUGAUCUUUGUUUGUUUAAAGUCUGUUUUAUCAGAGACUAAGAUUGCAACCCCUGCUUUUUUUUUUCUUUCCAUUUGCUUGUUAAAUAUUCCUCCAUCCCUUUAUUUUGAACCUAUGUGUAUCUUUGCACAUGAGAUGGGUCUCCUGAAUACAGCACACUGAUGGGUCUUGACUAUUUAUCCAAUUUGCCAGUCUGUGUCUUUUAACUGGGGCAUUUAGCCCAUUUACAUUUAAGGUUAAUAUUGUUAUGUGUGAAUUUGAUCCUGUCCUCCUGGUGCUAGUUGGUUAUUUUGCAUAUUAGUUGGUGCAGUUUCUUCAUAGUGUCGUUGGUCUUUAUAUUUUGGUGUGUUUUUGCAGUGGCUGGUACUGGUUUUUCCUUUCCAUAUUUAGUGCUUCCUUCAGGAGCUCUUUUAAGGUAGGCCUGGUGGUGACAAAAUCCCUCAGCACUUGCUUGUCUGUAAAGGAUUUUAUUUCUCCUUCCCUUAUGAAGCUUAGUGUGGCUGGAUAUGAAAUUCUGAGUUGAAAAUUAUUUUCUUUAAGAAUACUGAGUAUUGGCCCCCACUCUUUUCUGGCUUAUAGGGUUUCUGCAGAGAGAGCCAAUGUUAGUCUAGUGGGCUUCCCUUUAUAGGUAACCUGACCUUUCUCUCUGGCUGCCCUUAACAUUUUCUCCUUCAUUUCAACCUUGGAGAAUCUGAAGAUUUUGUGUCUUGGGGUUGCUCUUCUCGAGGAAUAUCUUUGUGGUGUUCUCUAUAUUUCCUGAAUUUGAAUGCUGGCCUGUCUUGCUAAGCUGGGGAAGUUUUCCUGGAUAACAUCCUGAAGCUUGUUUUCCAACUUGGUUCCAUUCUUCCUGUCACUUUCAGGUACACCGAUCAAUCGUAGGUUUGGUCUUUCCACAUAGUCCCAUAUUUCUUGGAGGCUUUGUUCAUUCCUUUUCAUUUUUUUUCUCUAAUCUUGUCUUCACACUUUAUUUCAUUAAAUUGAUCUUCAAUUUCUGAUAUCCUUUCUUCCACUUGAUCAAUUUGGCUAUUGAUACUUGUGUACACUUCACGAAGUUCUUGUGCUGUGUUUUUUCACCUCCAUUAGGUCAUUUAUGUUCUUCUCUAAACUAGUUAUUCUAGUUAGCAGUUCCUGUAACCUUUUAUCAAGGUUCUUAGUUUCCUUGCAUUGGGUUUGAACAUGCUCCUUUAGCUCAGAGGAGUUUGUUAUUACCCACUUUCUGAAGCCUACUUCUGUCAGUUCGUCAAACUCAUUCUCUGUCCAGUUUUGUGCUCUUGCUGGAGAGGCAUUGCAAUCAUUUGAAGGAGAAGAGGCAUUCUGGUUUUUGGAAUUUUCGGCAUUUUUGCACUGGUUUUUCCUCAUCUUUGUGGAUUUAUCUACUUUUCAUCUUUGAUGUUGAUGACCUUGGAUGUGGUUUUUGUGUGGGCAUCCUUUUUUUUGUUGAUGUUGAUGUUAUUGCCUUUUUUUUUUUUUUUUUUUUUUUGAGACAAAGUCUCGCUCUGUUGCCCAACCUGGAGUGCAGCGGCGUGAUCUCGGCUCACUGCAACCUCCACCUUCCAGGUUCGAGUGAUUCUCCCACCUCAGCCUCCCAAGUAGCUGGGACUACAAGUGCGCGCCACCAUGCCCAGCUACUUUUUGUAUUUUUAGUAGAAACAGGGUUUCACCAUAUUGGCUAGGCUGGUCUCAAACUCCUGACCUUGUGAUUUGCCUGCCUCAGCUUCCCAAAGUUCUGGGAAUAAACCACCAUGCCCAGCUGAUGUUAUUGCUUUCUGUUUUUUGGUUUUCCUUCUAACAGUCAGGACCCUCUUCUGCAGGCCUGCUGGAGUUUACUGGAGGAAUUUCCCUUUUGAAAUCUUGCGGUGUUGAGUAGGACCGCCAGGCCGGCAAGCAGGAGGCGGCCUCCUCGUAACCGCCAGGCGGCGACACCUAG